rnacentral:rRNA from 1 species
UACGGGGGGGGCAAGCGUUGUUCGGAAUUACUGGGCGUAAAGGGCUUGUAGGUGGCCAACUAAGUCAGACGUGAAAUCCCUCGGCUUAACCGGGGAACUGCGUCUGAUACUGGAUGGCUUGAGUGUGGGAGAGGGAUGCGGAAUUCCAGGUGUAGCGGUGAAAUGCGUAGAUAUCGGAAGGAACAUCAGUGGCGAAAGCGACUUCCUGGACCAAUACUGACGCUCAUGUGCGAAAGCGUGGGGAGCAAACAGG